CAGCUUAGGCUUUUUUUCUUCCCCAGCGACGCGCGAGCGGAAGAUGUCUAGGCGCGCGCUGUUGCCAUGGUAACUCGUACCCGCCUCUACGCCUGGGAAGCGCGCUUAUGGCCUGUUUCUCCAGACUCAGAAAAUGUCUGGAGAUCUUAGACUCAUUUCCUGUUCACCUCAAGUUUGGAGUAGGUCCAUGCAACAAAUGAUGUUAUCUUCAUACAAAAUAGGUACAGAACCCUUCAGAUCAACUUACCAGUAAGUCAAUAUGUAAAACAGACCAAUAUGGUUGAAAUGGAAACAAAUGAGAGUUAUUGCAACUUGCCAGAAGUGCAUACCUCCAUUCCCACCUCCCCACAAUGUGUACUUUGAAAACCACUGGAAAAAUUCAUCCCUUUAUAAAUGGCUUGAAAUGCCCCAUCUGUAAUAUUCUACAUUAAAAUGUUUAAUUAUCCCCUCCAAAAGAAAGACUUAGUCAUAUUAUAAUAAACUUCAGGAAAGCAAGUAUUGUAUUGUGUCCCAGGUGCCUACUAUAAUACCUAUGUGUAUAAUGAGUGCUUA